rnacentral:tRNA from 1 species
GCCUCUGUAGCUCAGACUGGCUGGAGCGAUCGACUUGUAAUCGAUAGGUCGAGGGUUCAAAUCCCUCCAGGGGCU